CCGCUUGCGAGGGAGGAAGAAGGGUGGGUGCGGUGGUUAUACGUGCUUUAUACCGUCGCUAGUCUACACGAAGCCGGUGUAAGGUUACGCGUUGCAAGUUAGUUGUCACGAGUGGGCACACAUUCGCUUAAAAUUAGCGAAUAUCAAGUAGGAAGCAAAUCGCGGGAGUGCUGGCCGAGCUGUGCUUGCUGGCUAGCUGGCUCUGAUAGUUCGAAGUAGAAACCGCUUCUAUUUUCGCGCGUACUUGCCAACGAGCGACGUCGAGCCAAUACCUUGAAUACCUCGCGUUAAUUACUCAUGGUUCGGUCAGCUUCUCUUUCCCCAAAUUUUGCAUUCCCCCUUUUCCUCUCGCGAAUCUCAUUUCGCAAAACCGACUUCUCCUCCUCCCGUCGCUUCUCUCGAUCGGCGUCUCGUAAGAAACGUCGUACGAUUUGGCACGUCUGAGAGAUGAGCGUUGGUAUACUUUGGAAUUCCGAGAUCGGAAGAGCGU